rnacentral:rRNA from 1 species
CACGCCGUAAACGGAUGUCAACUAGCCGUUGGAGUCCUUGAGGCUUUAGUGGCGCAGCUAACGCGAUAAGUUGACCGCCUGGGGAGUACGGCCGCAAGGUUAAAACUCAAAUGAAUUGACGGGGGCCCGCACGAAGCGGUGGAGCAUGUGGUUUAAUUCGAAGCAACGCGAAGAACCUUACCAGGCCUUGACAUCUACAGAACUUUCCAGAGAUGGAUUGGUGCCUUCGGGAACUGUAAGACAG